GUGAGCUGGAAGGCGUAGCCGGGCGGCAGCCCGAGCCCCCCGCUGCCACCGCCGCCGCCGCCGCUCCUCUCCCGCAGGCUCCGCACCGCGUACUCGAUGGCCGGCCGCACCCGCCCCAGCGAGAAGAGCACUGCCCGAUCAGAGCACAUCAAACGCAUCCCCGUUCAGCUCUCCUCACCGAUCGUAAAGCUGCUAGGCAUCAUAUUUUGUCACGGUCCGUUUAAAAUGGACACUCCUGUUCUGGAAUAAGGAACAAUGUAAGCGUGAGGCAUGCAAAGUCUUUUGUGAAAGAGGCUUUUGGACACCUGAUGCUUUUCAACAGCAAAAUCCUAAAGGAUGUCUCUCUGUACAUUUUUCUAUGUACGCAUCCUCAAACCCGGAGCCAGGGCUGCGCGGUUUGAUGCUUUCUGAUCACUCAGCGAGUGCCAGGUUUGCGCUGGGAAGGAGCAUGUAUCUGAUGGAGCUCAGUAAAAUUUAAAAAACAAAAAAAGGUCACAAAUGUGAAGAUUGGUAGCUUUCCUGAGAAAUGUGCCUCUAAUGUAGUUUUGUUUGAUUACUGAAUUGAACUUCAGAGUGUUCUUGAAAAUUACAUAAACACCCACCCUGGUGAAGCUCGUUUUGUGUGUUCCUGUACCCUACAUAAAUGCUUUUUAAUAGGAACAAAUCCUGCAGUCGUGAAUCAGUAGCAGGCAGAAUGCCCGUGGACUGCAGCAAGAGCGGAGACUUCAGACUAGCCCUUUAGGACUAAAGGCAUUACGGACAUAGACUAUUUUCCCUACAGAAAUAACUCAUACACAAAUCAAGAAUCACUUGACUCGCUCCAACUAGCAUUAGCAACAGUCUGAACUGCCUGCUGCAGAUUAAGAAAAUCCUUCACAGACAGGUUCGCUGAAAACAUAGUCCCCCCUAGAGGCUGAAAAGAUGAAAUAUUUUAGUGUCAUCUGUACUGCAAAUAUAUCGUGCCAUUUAGACUUUCAAAUUCUUUCCUUAUUUUUCUAGAAACCUAUUCUUGUUAUUUCAAGGAAUCUGUAUUUUGGAACACACACAAUGGAUUUCUUAUUGCUACAUGUAGGAUCUGUGUGUCUCUUUUUUGCAUUUUGUGGUCUUACCUUUAUAUAGUUACGUGAAAAUGCACCACAGCCUUUAGGUAAAAGUCUUGCAGCAUAAAAAAUCAAGAUGAACAAACCUGAUGCUAAAAAAUAAAAAGGAGUCAUAUUUAUUUGUUCUGUCUUUUAAUUGACACCAACUUCUGUGUAGAUCUGUAUACAAGAACUACAAAAUGACAAAAUUACACACCAAAAAUGUAAGCAUAUGUAUAGUAAUAACACUUUGUAGAACUAGUUACUGGUGCUGUCAACAGCUUCUACUUCACAGCACAAAGUAAGGUAAGGUGGGCAGAAGAAUAUUCUUUUAUUUUAUGACUGAGGAAAACAAAAUUUGGGAAGGCAAACCAUGACAUACCAGAGGUUGAGGGUGAUCCCAAGGUCAUCCCUCCACUACACCACUGAUCAUCGCUACCACUGCUAAAGUCACAUUGUGUUUAUCCCGUACUGCUGGUGACACAGUGCUGCACCUAUCCUUCCUUUCCCACUGGUCCUCAAAAGUGCACUGAAAUUCAUCUGGAUGAGAGAUGUGCUGCUUGAGUGUGCAAAAGCAAAUCCUAGGAUGAAAAAAGACUGACACCCCACCAUUAGUCAUAAAUUUUGCUCAUGUUCCCAGGGAGCACAGUGAAAGCAGGUACUCCUAAAAUAUAUAAAUUAUGGGGCUAAAACCCAGCCCUAUCUAUCUAUCUAUAUAUAGAGAUAUAUCCCAGUAUAACCCAAUCAGUACUUGCUGUGUUUCCUCCCAUCUUCAAGGUAAUAUUGAAUGUGAGAUAAUAUGGUGAAAAACAACAAAUCAGGAAAUCUUUGCAGAAAUAGAACAUUUGAGGCAAAAUGAGAGCUGCCAUGGCUCCCAGAAAAAUCCUCCUCAGAAGUGGCUUAGUAGGCUCCAGCCCAGUAUAAGAACUACAACAGAGUUGUGACUGUGUGUUUCUUAUACAUGUGUUAGGGACAUACCCUGAUUUAUCAAAAUUAUCUUACUGGCAACUGGUAUGAGUUACAGCAACUUCUGGAUGGCCCAAAAUAAUACCUUGGGAUUGAUAUUGUAUAAAUCAUGGUCAAGUGUGUCUUACAAUUGUCUUACUUCUGUUUCCCAUGUAAUUAUAGCAAAAGGACUGGAUCCAUAACUUCAUUUGCAUCCAUAGACUUCAGAGACUCUCUGAAGCACUGCCCUUCCAUGCAGGAGCAACUGUAAUGACCUUAAACUAGACAUGUCUCAUUAGCCCAUCCAUAAUGCACUUGCAGACACUUCAUUUCUUCUCCCCUUCCUUUUCAGGUCAAUCCACCAAUCUAUGGCAGGGAUAAAUCAGCCCUGACAUAUUUUAUCUAAAAGAAAGCUUAAGAUAGAAGGUAGAUUGCUUGAAAAGUUGUGAGAAUAACUCUAUUUUACAGUAGCAGCCCAUCAAGACAAUGUGUGUGAAAUUAUACUCCACGUUCCCUUUCCAAGGUAUGCCCUAGUCUGUACGAACAAUAAACUCCCCACCUUAGUAAUGAAUGUGCUGAAAUGUGUGACACAUUGUCAAUGAAAUACAGGCCUAGUUCGGAAAGACUGAUGUUAAUUUUAAAAUAGGAGAGCACUUGUUUCUUUUCUAUGACACCAUUAAAAUUUUCACAACUUGUAUAUAGCAUUUUUCAGUUUCUAAUAACUCACAAAGUGUCUCACAAAGGUUAUUGUCUUAACUGCAGGAAGAAGCACUGCGAAUUCUAUAAGGAACAGAGAAAAUCAUCUUCUGAAAUGUUUCAGAAUAAGAGAGAACUUUGUGCACAAAAUUGUAUUUCUAUUGGAAGCUAAUUUAUUUUUGGUGUUCCUACCACUGCCACAUGGAAGCAGUUGCUUUAGGGCUUAUUACAAAGCGCUUUUUUCUUUCCUGUCAUAUGACUAAUAUUCAUGAAAAAAUAAUUACCUGUACUUCUGCAGUUAAGGUGUGUCUGCAGCUGCUGCAGUCAUUUUGCCACACCUAUGCCUUUUGUUUCCAAAAUGAAGGAAAGCUAAAAAAAGACAUGACUACAAAAAAGGUCCAUAGUUUUCAAGAAAUGUAG